GCAAGUCGAACGAUUAAAGCUCUCUUCGGGAGAGUGUAUAGAGUGGCGCACGGGUGAGUAACACGUAAGUAAUCUACCUUUGAGUGGGGAAUAACAAUCGGAAACGAUUGCUAAUACCGCAUAAUGCAGCGGCACCGCAAGGUGACAGUUGUUAAAGGAGCAAUCCGCUUAAAGAGGAGCUUGCGGCAGAUUAGCUUGUUGGUAAGGUAACGGCUUACCAAGRCUACGAUCUGUAUCCGGUCUAAGAGGACGGUCGGACACACUGACACUGAAUAACGGGUCAGACUCCUACGGGAGGCAGCAGUCGGGAAUUUUGGGCAAUGGGCGAAAGCCUGACCCAGCAACGCCGCGUGAAGGAUGAAGUAUUUCGGUAUGUAAACUUCGAAAGAAUAGGAAGAAUAAAUGACGGUACUAUUUAUAAGCUCCGGCUAACUACGUGCCAGCAGCCGCGGUAAUACGUAGGGAGCAAGCGUUGUUCGGAUUUACUGGGCGUAAAGGGCGCGUAGGCGGCGCGGUAAGUCACUUGUGAAAUCUCUGAGCUUAACUCAGAACGGCCAAGUGAUACUGCAGUGCUAGAGUGC
rnacentral:rRNA from 1 species